AAGUCUAAGUAUAAGUUAUAUGAAUGACGAAACUGCGAAUGGCUCGGUAAAACAGCAUCAAUUUCUUCGAUGGUAACCUACUAUACGGAUAACCGUAGUAAAUCUAGAGCUAAUACGUGCCAUAAACGCGGGUGAUUUAUUUUACUCGUGGUGCUAAUUAGAUAACAACACCAACAUAUGGUGAUUCAUAAUUUUCUUUCUGAUCGUCGAGCAAUCGGCGACGCAUCGUUCAAAUUUCUGACCUAUCAACUUUAGAUGGUAAGGUAGUGACUUAUCAUGGUAACAACGGGUAACGGACCGUGGGUGCGGGACUCCGGAGAGGGAGCCUGAGAAACGGCUACCACAUCCAAGGAAGGCAGCAGGCGCGCAAAUUACCCAAUCCAGACUCUGGGAGGUAGUGACAAGAAAUAUCAAUAGGGGACCCUACGGGUCUUCUAAUUGGAAUGAGAACAAGCUAAACCGCUUAUCGAGAAUCCAGCAGAGGGCAAGUCUGGUGCCAGCAGCCG
rnacentral:rRNA from 1 species